UGAAUCUUUAAAAGUCUGUUUUAACCUGAAAUGAGGUAUAGCAGCAGUGUAUUUUCUUACUUUUGUCAAUUUAAUUAGAAAUGAGAUAUUAUUUUAUAGUGUUGGAAAACUUUCUUCCUAGGCCUUUGUGAGUGAAAAGCAUGAAUCCAAUAAGGUCAUUGCGUUUGAGAGGGCAGGUCUCGUUUUUAUUUUCAACUUCCAUCCAUAUCAAAGUUAUGUGGACUACAGAGUGGGUGUUGAAACUCCAGGAAAGUAUAAAAUUCUUCUGGAUUCUGAUGCUUCAGAAUAUGGAGGACAUCAAAGACUGGACCACAGUACAGAAUACUUCUCUGAAGAAUAUCCUCACAAUUAUCGGCAUAAUUCACUUAUGGUGUACAUUCCCAGCAGAGUGGCUAUUGUGCUUCAGAAUAUGGAUAUCCUAAACUGAAUAUAUGGAUAUUCUUCACUGAAGAAGCAAGUCAUAGAAGAAGUGCUGAUAUACUGUAUCAGUGCAAAGUAUAACAAAACUUGCUCUAAGGAAGCUUUCUGAAACUAAAUAUAGUAGUAUUAGAUGUUUAAAAUAUAGGAUUAAUAUUCACAUAUAAUUGCAGAGCUCUCAAGUUGCUAGAACCUAUUUGAGGAAACUUUAUGAAAGAGGUAGAAAGAAAAAUAUAAUUUUGUAGCUCUGAGAUUGCAAAAUUACACUUAAGACAUUGCAGAGCAGCUAGCAUUCUCAAAUUGUUGUUUACAGAGCUUUAUCAGGAAUGGUCCUGCUCUCUGUUUCUUGUAAGCCUCUAUCAUUUUGAUGAAGAAAUCAAACGUUCAUUAUAUAUCAAUGCUUCUUAUUAAAAGUAAGUAGUUUGUGUAAAUAAAACAGAAGUUCUUGGCUAAAAGGAAACCUUA
rnacentral:lncRNA from 1 species